rnacentral:rRNA from 1 species
GAUAUUUCUAGUUUACUAGGAAGAAAGUGGCGCACGGGUGCGUAACGCGUAUGCAACCUACCUUAAUCAGGGGGAUAACCCGAAGAAAUUCGGAUUAACACCGCAUAAAAUCACAGUACAGCAUUGUACAAUGAUCAAAUAUUUAUAGGAUUAAGAUGGGCAUGCGUGACAUUAGCUAGUUGGCGGGGUAACGGCCCACCAAGGCUACGAUGUCUAGGGGAUCUGAGAGGAUGACCCCCCACACUGGUACUGAGACACGGACCAGACUCCUACGGGAGGCAGCAGUAAGGAAUAUUGGUCAAUGGAGGCAACUCUGAACCAGCCAUGCCGCGUGCAGGAAGACAGCCCUCUGGGUCGUAAACUGCUUUUAUUCGGGAAUAAACCUCAUUACGUGUAAUGAGCUGAAUGUACCGAAGGAAUAAGGAUCGGCUAACUCCGUGCCAGCAGCCGCGGUAAUACGGAGGAUCCAAGCGUUAUCCGGAUUUAUUGGGUUUAAAGGGUGCGUAGGCGGCUUUUUAAGUCAGGGGUGAAAGACGGUAGCUCAACUAUCGCAGUGCCCUUGAUACUGAAGAGCUUGAAUGGACUAGAGGUAGGCGGAAUGUGACAAGUAGCGGUGAAAUGCAUAGAUAUGUCACAGAACACCGAUUGCGAAGGCAGCUUACUAUGGUUUUAUUGACGCUGAGGCACGAAAGCGUGGGGAUCAAACAGGAUUAGAUACCCUGGUAGUCCACGCCCUAAACGAUGAAUACUCGCUGUUAGCGAUACACAGUUAGCGGCUAAGCGAAAGCGUUAAGUAUUCCACCUGGGGAGUACGGUCGCAAGAUUGAAACUCAAAGGAAUUGACGGGGGCCCGCACAAGCGGAGGA